GGAGCACGGGACGCAGCAGUGGGGAAUAUUGCACAAUGGGGGAAACCCUGAUGCAGCGACGCCGCGUGAGUGAAGAAGUAUUUCGGUAUGUAAAGCUCUAUCAGCAGGGAAGAAAAAAGACGGUACCUGACUAAGAAGCCCCGGCUAACUACGUGCCAGCAGCCGCGGUAAUACGUAGGGGGCAAGCGUUAUCCGGAUUUACUGGGUGUAAAGGGAGCGUAGACGGCGAUGCAAGUCUGAAGUGAAAGCCCGGGGCUCAACCCCGGGACUGCUUUGGAAACUGGAUGGCUGGAGUGCUGG
rnacentral:rRNA from 1 species